rnacentral:rRNA from 1 species
CAGUAGCCGCGGUAAUACGUAGGGUGCGAGCGUUAAUCGGAAUUACUGGGCGUAAAGCGUGCGCAGGCGGUUCGUUAAGACAGAUGUGAAAUCCCCAGGCUUAACCUGGGAACUGCAUUUGUGACUGGCGAGCUAGAGUAUGGCAGAGGGGGGUAGAAUUCCACGUGUAGCAGUGAAAUGCGUAGAGAUGUGGAGGAAUACCGAUGGCGAAGGCAGCCCCCUGGGCCAAUACUGACGCUCAUGCACGAAAGCGUGGGGAGCAAACAGGAUUAGAUACCCCAGUAGUCCCUGUCUCUUAUAC